rnacentral:lncRNA from 1 species
CACUGAGCAAUGAACCGUGAAAAUGAGGUCACGGUCAAAUAAAACCUGUGCGACUGACAUAAAGAUCAUAAAAUAUUUCCAUACACCAAAUAUAGUUGACCUAUGGCAUAUAGUAUUAGAUAAAAAGACCAAAACUCAAAAACUUAACUUUGACCACUGAACCAUGAAAAUGAGGUCAAGGUCACAUGACAUCUGCCCGCUAGACAUGUACACCUUACAAUCAUUCCAUACAAUAAAUAUAGUAGACCUAUUGCAUAUAGUAUGAGAAUAACAGACCAAAACACAAAAAUUUAACUAUAAGCACUGAACCAUGAAAUUGAGGUCAAGGUCAGAUGACACCUGCCAGUUGGACAUGUACACCUUACAGUCCUUCCAUACACCGAAUAUAUUAGCCCUAUUGCUUAUAGUAUCUGAGAUAUGGACUUGACCACCAAAACUUAACCUUGUUCACUGAUCCAUGAAAUGAGGUCGAGGUCAAGUGAAAACUGUCUGACAGACAUGAGGACCUUGCAAGGUACGCACAUAUCAAAUAUAGUUAUCCUAUUACUUAUAAUAAGAGAGAAUUCAACAUUACAAAAAAUUUG